UCUCCCUUUGUACACACCGCCCGUCGCUACUACCGAUUGAAUGGCUUAGUGAGGUGUUGGGAUUGGCUUCGGGGAGCCGGCAACGGCACCCUGUUGCUGAGAACUUCAUCAAACUUGGUCAUUUAGAGGAAGUAAAAGUCGUAACAAGGUUUCCGUAGGUGAACCUGCGGAAGGAUCAUUAUCGAGUUUUGAACGGGUUGUCUGCUGGCUCGCAAGGGCAUGUGCACGCCUGUCUCAUCCACUCUCAACUUCUGUGCACUUUUCAUAGGCCGGCUUGUGGGUGCGUUCGCGCACUUGUAGGUGUCGGGCUUAUGCUUUAUUACAAACGAUUCAGUUUUAGAAUGUCAUACUUUGCUAUAACGCAAUUUAUAUACAACUUUCAGCAACGGAUCUCUUGGCUCUCGCAUCGAUGAAGAACGCAGCGAAAUGCGAUAAGUAAUGUGAAUUGCAGAAUUCAGUGAAUCAUCGAAUCUUUGAACGCACCUUGCGCUCCUUGGUAUUCCGAGGAGCAUGCCUGUUUGAGUCUCAUGGAAUUCUCAACCUUCGGCUUCAUUGACGAAGGCUUGGACUUGGAGGUCGUGCCGGCUCUCGUAGUCGGCUCCUCUGAAAUGCAUUAGUGCGAACGUUACCGACCGCUUCAGCGUGAUAAUUAUCUGCGUUGCUGUGGAGGGUAUUCUAGUGUUCACGCUUCUAACCGUCUUCGGACAAAUUUCUGAACUCUGAGCUCAAAUCAGGUAGGACUACCCGCUGAACUUAAGCAUAUCAAUAAGCGGAGGAAAAGAAACUAACAAGGAUUCCCCUAGUAACUGCGAGUGAAGCGGGAAAAGCUCAAAUUUAAAAUCUGGCGGUCUUCGGCCGUCCGAGUUGUAAUCUGGAGAAGCGUUUUCCGCGCUGGACCGUGUACAAGUCUCUUGGAACA
rnacentral:rRNA from 1 species